rnacentral:rRNA from 1 species
UGGUCAGUAGGUUGGUCGUGCCACCGGUACGUACUGGUCUCACUGAUUCCUCCUUCCUGAAGAACCGUAAUGCCAUUAAUUUGGUGUUGCGGGGAAACAGGACUGUUACUUUGAAAAAAUUAGAGUGUUUAAAGCAAGCUAACGCUUGAAUACAUUAGCAUGGAAUAAUGAAAUAGGACGAUCGAUCCUAUUUUGUUGGUUCCUAGGAUUGACGUA